AGCAAGCAACUGAAACUUUUUCAACUGGAAUUAGCUCAAACCUUUCUUUUACAUAGGAAGAAAAAUCUAGGAGCAUAACAGAUUACAUGACAAAAUAACAAAUCAAUUAACAUCACUCACAGGAAAAAUCAGGCACUUGAGCAGGCUACCUGAAAACCAAAAGGCUAUGCUGAUGGGUCAAAACACACUACAGGACACUGGAUCCCGGCCCUCUGCUGCACCGACUUAAAACCCAUCCCCACACUCACCAAGGCACAACCCCAAC